AACUGCAGCCACACGGGGGUUUGGGGGCUUAGCUCCAGAAUAUUUAGAGUUUCUGUUGGUCUCACAGUGCUACGGCUCAGACUUUUGAAGGAAUACAAGAAGAGGGGCCGUAGCACACGUGCGGAGUGCCUCUUUCUCGCCACGGAGUUUUGUAACUGCAACUAACCCCUCCUCCCUUCCUUCCCGUUCCCGGUUCGAAGGGUUUCCGUAAGAAGUGGCGGGGCAGGGACUGGGCCAGUGAUGUAGUUGCAGGUUCAGAAGUGCAGGCGCCCUCCAUGACAGCGCCCCCAUGGCUGGCCAUGCCCACCACCCCAAAGCCAGAGAAGCCGAGAAGUACCGGCGCGCCUCCGUCCCUGGGCAUCACCCCCUCCACUGCACCCCGGGACUUGGCUCCGAAGCAGGCCUGAGAGCCCCACCCCCUUUCAUUUCGGAAACGGAGUACUGCUACUGCUGGGCUGGCCCGCUCACGGCUGACUCAGCCUGCCAGGGCCAGUCAUCCAGAGCAGCGAUGCCUCCGCAGGCCCAGGGCCUACUUGAUUGGUUCGCGAUCAGUUUUAGAUCGGGCCAAUAAAGGAGAGAGUUUCCUGGCCCUGGCGGCAAACGAGCCCCCAGGAGAACGUCAGCCCGGAGUUAAACAAUGCUAAUCCCAGUUGCGCACGAGCUCCCUCUGCUGGACCCGGCCAGGCCUUUUGUAGUGCUCCUGUCUGCUGGUAACUUUUCCCGGGGGUUAAAUGGCAGACGCAUCAGGACCGUCUGUUGCCGUAGUAGAAGUAUAGGCCCUUCUUCCCCCGCGCUCUGUGGCUGGGGAAGGAUGGCUAACUGGCUGCUUACUGGCUCGAGAAAGACUAAACCUGUCUGGACUAAUAGCUGUAGACAAUGUAGUUUGGCGAAAGUCAGAUACAUGAAGGAGGCGGGAAGUCUUCACAGACAUUGCUGACCCUGAAGGAGGGAGCCUCCCCAGUGUUGACUUGCAUCCCUUGACUUUCUCCCAUAUAUGGGAAUAGCUACCAUUCAUUCCCACUGAGAAAAGGAAAAGAGAAAGCUGCUUCCAUCCCUGGCACUGGGCUGCCCAGCCCUCACUGGCACCACGGGAUCUCCCAGGAGCUUCAUACAUUUAUUAAUUAUAUUAUUAUUAACAUUUUAUAUCCCGCUCUUCCUCCAAGGAGCCCAGAGCGGUGUACUACAUACUUUAGUUUUUCCUCACAACAACCCUGUGAAGUAGGUUAGGCUGAGAGAGAAGUGACUGGCCCAGAGUCACCCAGCAAGUCUCAUGGCUGAAUGGGGAUUUGAACUCAGGUCUUCCCAGUCCUAGUUGAGCACUCUAACCACUAUACCAUGUUGUGUGAAGAGCAGACAAAGGUUCUUGCAGUGUAUCAUAUAGUCCUUCCCAGCAGGCACAUACAAGCACCCAUCCAUAACUGAUGGGCAUUUUGCUAGUUACUAAUUAAACUGUCUUACUAAUAAUAGACAGCCUCACCUUUAUUAGACUAUCUAUCAUCAGUGUACAAUUUAACAAGAUUAUAGAUUAUAGCCGAGAGCAUAGUGAACAGGGAUAGCAAACAGGACGUAGGAGUUUUGCAGGAGUUUAGCGGGAAGUGUGGAGGUGAGCCUGGAACAAGCCCCUGCAAUCACAAGGAUCACAAGGAGCCUGGUGGAGAAGAGAACGCUGUCCUCGCAUGACUGGAAAUCUGUAUCCAGGCCAUUCGGGUUGAUGAGCUCCUCGUCUUGGGACCCCUGUUCUUCAGACUCGGCGACGUCACCCUCCGGUGUAGAAUCUUGCAGGACUUGGGCAAUGUACUUCUGCUGUGAAGUGGAGAUAGAGAAAACAACAAGAAGAAGACCAGUUAGCUCUCUCUGUCUGCGUGGCAAGUCCGGCGGCAGAGCAUGAUGGAUCACAGAAAGAAAAGAAGCUCAGAAAAGCCAGUACAGAAGAUCACAAGGUACAGCAAGAUGCAUAGACAGCGAGCUUCCACCAGUGCAGAAUCAGAUAUUCUGAAUGCCCGAACAUAUGUUUUUUCCAUACAGUCUGGAAAACAAUCAACUCUCCAGUCAAUCAAUAUAAGAAACUACACAUUAGGGGUCUUCUCUUGACAUCUUGCACCAGGUGGACCCCACUCGCCACAAAUGGCUGCAUCUUCUGAAGGCAGCACAGACUGAGGAACAGUUGAAAUGUCUAGACAUGAGAAAGAUGGUUUGUGGCACCAGUAUCACAGAGUGUUUUCAGGUGUGAGGGUCAGCUUGCAAAAGAGUCUGGUGACAUGAGAUUCAUAUGACUGUGCAUUAGAAGUUCUCAACUCAGAUCUGAGUAUUUUGAUUCAUCUAAUGAGAUAUAUUGCUUUAGAAGAAAAGAUUUGUAAGUAAUUCUCCUCAAAGACAAUUUACUACAUGUUCUUGAAGUUUUUCAACAUGGUUCUUUAUUUACAUUGAAGAUACCACUUGUUCAACAUGGGGCUAACAUUUGGACACUUGAUAGGUUUUUUUUGAAAAAGUUAUUCACCAGGUUCCUGUUGUGUGUUAUGUAAUUGUGGUGUAUAUACAAUGAAUUGUAUUGUGUAAGUGUUUUUUUUUAAAAAAAACUAGGACAGAUAUCAUUUACUGUAUUCCAUGUUUUGACUAGUAUUUUUAUCUCAUAUUUGAUUAUUCAUUAUUACUGUUCUUACAUGAUGCAUUGAUCCAAAGUACAGUUUCUUAUUAUACUUCA